rnacentral:rRNA from 1 species
CCUACGGGAGGCAGCAGUGGGGGAUAUUGCACAAUGGGGGAAACCCUGAUGCAGCGACGCCGCGUGUGGGAAGACGGUCCUCUGGAUUGUAAACCACUGUCCCCAGGGACGAAAAUGACGGUACCUGGGGAGGAAGCUCCGGCAAACUACGUGCCAGCAGCCGCGGUAAUACGUAGGGAGCGAGCGUUGUCCGGAAUUACGGGGUGUAAAGGGAGCGUAGGCGGGGAUGCAAGUUGGGGGUCAAAACUACCGGCUCAACUGGUAGUCGCACUCAAAACUGCAGCUCUUGAGUGAAGUAGAGGCAGGCGGAAUUCGUAGUGUAGCGGUGAAAUGCGUAGAUAGUAGGAGGAACACCAGUGGCGAAGGCGGCCUGCUGGGCUUUUACUGACGCUGAGGCUCGAAAGUGUGGGGAGCAAACAGGAUUAGAUACCCGGGUAGUC